GUGGAGAUUAUCACUAUGUUUGAUAGCGGAUAUCUAUGUGGAGAUUAUCACUAUGUAUGAUAGGCGGAUAUCUAUGUGGAGAUUAUCACUAUGUAUGAUAGGCGGAUAUCUAUGUGGAGAUUAUCACUAUGUUUGAUAGCGGAUAUCUAUGUGGAGAUUAUCACUAUGUAUGAUAGGCGGAUAUCUAUGUGGAGAUUAUCACUAUGUAUGAUAGGCGGAUAUCUAUGUGGAGAUUAUCACUAUGUAUGAUAGGCGGAUAUCUAUGUGGAGAUUAUCAUUAUGUAUGAUAGGCGGGUAUCUAUGUGGAUAUUAUCAUUAUAUAUGAUAGGCGGAUAUCUAUGUGGAGAUUAUCACUGUGUAUGAUAGCGGAUAUCUAUGUGGUGAUUAUCACUGUGUAUGAUAGCGGAUAUCUAUGUGGAGAUUAUCACUGUGUAUGAUAGCGGAUAUCUAUGUGAAGAUUAUCACUAUGUUUGAUAUCAGGUUAUGACCGUAGAGAUCAUCCACUGAUGUAGUUCAGUUGUAGAUAACUAAUAGCGUACCUUGAAGUCAACCCAAUAAUCUGUUCAGCUUUUAGAGUGUUUUUUUUUAGUAUACAAACAGAUAUAAGUGACAGACAUACAGACUUGAUGACUUUUAGUUCACGUGUCAUGUUGAAGAGAAACUGAUGUAUGAACGUAUAUCUUGUGUGCUAUCGUACACAUUGUUUGCUCUAAUUAUGUAUUGUUUUUUGUAACGCACAAUUGUAUUGUAAAACAAAUUUUCUCACGGAAAAUAAAGAUUAUUAUUAUGUUAGAAACGAACGAGUAUUCAUUCUCUGGCACUGCCAGGGUCGAGUUUCGUUAAAGACAGGCAAACGAGGAUGUUCCUAGGAAUGUUAAGGGCCUUGAAAGUAUCUGUGAGGUCAGUUGUUAUUAUCCCCUCGGUUGGUAUAACAAUGGGGUAGAUUGUUAUUUUAGAUAACUUCCAUACAAAUGUAAAGGAAGGGGAGACUUUUUUUCCUUGAGGCUUUGAAUAUGAGAUUGACCCUUUACAGAACAAUAAAAUCAAUUAGAAAAUCAUUAUACGACAUUAGUUAGGUCAGGUUCACAUCUAACUUUACAUUCACUUUCACCUAUCUCUUGGUCUGCUGGACCGUUGGGGCACCAUACAAGAUCUGUCAACCUUCUUUCUCCAUUCUUUUGUCAAUUGCUUACGAUAGAAUUUCAUUCUGAUAUUUUUUUCUCAUAAUAUUAAAACCUAUCUUUUUACCUACCUGAGUGGACCACUUCGGGGGCGGAUUUCGAGUUAGUGUUUCCACACAAACUGUCUUUGUAACCUUGUUGUCCUAAUUACUCUGUACUGUGUUGCUGUAACAAAGCCUUCAGUUUCAGGGUAGAGAUGACCUGAUUUGAGCCAUGCUAAGGAAGCCGCCUGAUGGUGUCAGUCCAUUUGAGGAUACCGGAAGUCUAGAGGAGCACUGGGACGGCCCAGCUAUUUAUUACAGUGAUGAGGUUACUGCCAGACAGUUUGGUGUUGAGAAUUUUAUUUACUCUUUACUCUUUUAUGUCGUUAAAAAAUAUAAAUGGCUAGCUUUUGGUAUAUCCGGAGUACAUAAUGAAAGUUAGUGUUAAUAAGCCUUUAAAACAAAAUAUGAUCAUUGAUAUUUGUUUUGUUUAGCAUGAAAGCCUAGUUGAAAGCCGUGUGGUAGGCGCUCUGGACUGUCGUCUUGAUGGACCAGGCAGGGCCGUCUUUGGAUGAUUGGAGGCCCUAGGCCAGGGGUUCUCAGCCUGUGUGUCGCGACCCCUUCGGGGGUUGAAUUACUGUUUGUCAGGUGUCGCCUAAGACCAUAAAGUGGAGCGUCCUACAUUUUUAGCUCUACCCUUCACUUGACCUUCUGAGAAGAGCUGAACAGAAGGAAAGAUACCAGUGGUAUAGCUAUGUAAACUCUUGAGCUUUAUUAAACAUUAUGAAAGCGAA